rnacentral:rRNA from 1 species
UACGUAGGAGGCGAGCGUUGUCCGGAGUUACUGGGCGUAAAGGGUGCGCAGGCGGCGGUUCGCGUGGCGAGAUGAAAUCUCCUGGCUUACCUGGGAGGGUGGUCGCCAGACGGGAUCGCUUGAGGGUCGGAGAGGGGCGUGGAAUUCCCGGUGUAGCGGUGGAAUGCGUAGAGAUCGGGAAGAACAUCAGUGGCGAAGGCGGCCUGCUGGGCUGUUGCUGACGCUGAGGCGCGACAGCGUGGGGAGCAAACAGG